AUACGUAGGUGGCAAGCGUUGUCCGGAAUUAUUGGGCGUAAAGCGCGCGCAGGUGGUUUCUUAAGUCUGAUGUGAAAGCCCACGGCUCAACCGUGGAGGGUCAUUGGAAACUGGGAAACUUGAGUGCAGAAGAGGAUAGUGGAAUUCCAAGUGUAGCGGUGAAAUGCGUAGAGAUUUGGAGGAACACCAGUGGCGAAGGCGACUAUCUGGUCUGUAACUGACACUGAGGCGCGAAAGCGUGGGGAGCAAACAGGAUUAGAUACCCUGGUAGUCCACGCCGUAAACGAUGAGUGCUAAGUGUUGGGGGGUUUCCGCCCCUCAGUGCUGCAGCUAACGCAUUAAGCACUCCGCCUGGGGAGUACGGUCGCAAGACUGAA
rnacentral:rRNA from 1 species